UACAGAGGUCCCGAGCGUUGUUCGGAUUCACUGGGCGUAAAGGGUGCGUAGGUGGCGAGGUAAGUCGGAUGUGAAAGCUCGGAGCUCAACUCCGAAAUGGCAUUGGAAACUACCUUGCUCGAGGGUUGGAGGGGGGACUGGAAUGCUUGGUGUAGCAGUGAAAUGCGUAGAUAUCAAGCGGAACACCAGUGGCGAAGGCGAGUCCCUGGACAACUCCUGACACUGAGGCACGAAAGCUAGGGGAGCAAACAGG
rnacentral:rRNA from 1 species